UUAUGGUGUCUUACGUGCAGGACGGCAUGCUGCUGUUUUCAUGAAAUAAACAGAGACCAUUAAUGCAGUAACUCUUACGCUGCUUUGAGCACAGAGGAUCCUGUUGUUCAUCUACACACACACACACACACACAAAAGAAGUUAUGAUAAAGCAUCACAGUUUCUCUUUUUUCUUUAAUUAUCAUUUGUUUUAUUUUCUCCCAGAUGUUUUUAUCACUCUCCCGAACCUUACCAGUUUAACAACGUUUGUAAAGUUUAUUUAUUAACAAACAACACGGCAUGCGUUUUAUCCAUUUAUAUACAUCACUGAAACCAGUUCCAUCCUAUUUCACUUACGUUAUAGCAGCUAUAAACACUCGUUCCCUCACCAUCCCUUUAUCUAGUCUCUCUCUCUGUUCCCUCUCUCUAUUCCCUCUUUUUAUUCCGUCUCUUUAUUCUCUCUCUUUAUUCUCUCUCUUUAUUCUCUCUCUAUUCUCUCUCUAUUCUCUCUCUAUUCUCUCUUUAUUCUCUCUCUUUAUUCUGUCUCUUUAUUCUCUCUCUAUUCUCUCUCUAUUCUCUCUUUAUUCUCUCUCUAUUCUCUCUUUAUUCUCUCACUAUUCUCUCUUUAUUCUCUCUCUUUAUUCUGUCUCUUUAUUCUCUCUCUAUUCUCUCUUUAUUCUCUCUCUCUAUUCUCUCUUUAUUCUCUCUCUUUAUUCUCUCUCUUUAUUCUCUCUCUUUAUUCUCUCUCUCUAUUCUCUCUCUAUUCUCUCUUUAUUCUCUCUCUCUAUUCUCUCUUUAUUCUCUCUUUAUUCUCUCUCUUUAUUCUCUCUCUUUAUUCUCUCUCUUUUUAUUCUCUCUCUCUAUUCUCUCUCUAUUCUCUCUUUAUUCUCUCUCUUUAUUCUGUCUCUUUAUUCUCUCUCUAUUCUCUCUUUAUUCUCUCUCUUUAUUCUCGCUCUCUAUUCUCUCUUUAUUCUCUCUUUAUUCUCUCUCUUUAUUCUCUCUCUCUAUUCUCUCUUUAUUCUCUCUCUUUAUUCUCUCUCUUUAUUCUCUCUCUUUAUUCUCUCUCUUUAUUCCCUCUCUUUAUUCCCUCUCUUCAGGUGAAUAAGGCAGAAGUCGCAGUGUGUGUGUUGGUGAGAAACAGUAGAGAGUGUAAGCUCUGUGAUGAAGAUGUGGAGAAUCUAAAGUCACAGCGUCACCUCUGACUGUUACACAGUGCUGACACUGGAGACUCCUUCCAUAAACAUUACAUAAACAUGGUUCUCCUUACAGAAAACUUCACUGUACUGAUGAUUUGACAUAUUUUCUACUAAUGAUACCAAUAAGAUUGAUAAGAAACGAUAACGUUUUAGAACGAGGGCGUUAAUAUAAACCUGUGAUGUGCAGCAGCUGUUAGAGAAAACUAAUCAACACCUUCUGACCAAUCAGCACGCAGAAUUCAGCAGGACGGCGAGAGUAACUCUCUACAAACAAUGUGUUUAUAAAAUCAGGACAGUCAGAAAUGUGUGUGUGUGUGUGUGUGUCAUCUGUUAUAGUUCUGCAGCUGAUUGAAAAAUUUUUUUUCAAUAAAAUAUAAAAACUGAAAAGAUAAGAGUGUGUGAGAGAAUUCUAACCUUCAACAGCUCGUUAUAAAUAUUAAUGAUUACUCAUCCUUUUACAUCAAAUUAGAGUAAUCACUGAUCACGAGUCAGUGAAUACACAAUACAAUAACACUACAUGAAAAUGAAUAGAUAAAUAAAUGUUUCUUACUGUGUGUGAGGUUGUGAGUGGUGUUGAGGUCUGGGGCGGUGUUGAGUUUCAGCGUUUCUGCACAUUCGACUGUUCGGCUGUAAAGCAGUGAAACUGACGCAAGAGCAAAAACAGCUUCAAGAAAAAGAAGGAAAAAGUAAUUUAGCAAAUUUACAAGCAGAAACAGAAACACACACACACACACACACCACACACACUCACGCAUACACGCACACACAAGACAUGUCCUCAUAUAUAAAUAUAUCUAACUAACUGAAAUGUCUAAUAUAUUUACUGUAUUUUAUAUAUUAAUUCACACAUGCAUUUCGUUAGCUUCAACAUUUACACUAGUAAAACAUUAUUACGUUUAUUUCUUUCUGUUUAAAUGAAGUAUUGUGUUUCCUGUUAAAAGCAGUCAAUUUCAAGAUAUUUUCAUUUAUAUUAAAGUUAAAUAUAAACAUGACGUUAUUCAGGAGUUUAAUAUAAAAUCAGCCCGUACGCAGAAGAUAUUCUGCUCUUUGGAACAAAAUGAAUUUCAGUCAUUGUUAGAAAAGUGUAAACACUUACCAAAACACAAAGGUUUCUCCAUACACUGCGACAUCGUCUUUAAAAUAAUCAAUUAAAUAAAAAGGUUUUAGAACAGAUAUUUACUCAGACUGCUUCGGUUCCUCGCAACUGCAAUUUAUCACAAUUUACACUUUUAGCGUCGCUGUGAUGCACAAGAGCUUUCAGCCAAUCACAGAGCAGCUUUAAAGUAUCUAUGUAACAAAGCGUUUCCUGUCCACAGG
ensembl:lncRNA